rnacentral:rRNA from 1 species
UGGGGAAUUUUGGGACAAUGGGGGAAACCCGUGAUCCAGCCAUCCCGCGUGUGCGAUGAAGGCCUUCGGGUUGUAAAGCACUUUUGGCAGGAAAGAAACGUCGCGGGUUAAUACCCCGCGAAACUGACGGUACCUGCAGAAUAAGCACCGGCUAACUACGUGCCAGCAGCCGCGGUAAUACGUAGGGUGCAAGCGUUAAUCGGAAUUACUGGGCGUAAAGCGUGCGCAGGCGGUUCGGAAAGAAAGAUGUGAAAUCCCAGAGCUUAACUUUGGAACUGCAUUUUUGAACUACCGGGCUAGAGUGUGUCAGAGGGAGGUGGAAGUUCCGCGUGUAGCAGUGAAAUGCGUAGAUAUGCGGAGGAACACCGAUGGCGAAGGCAGCCUCCUGGGAUAACACUGACGCUCAUGCACGAAAGCGUGGGGAGCAAACAGGAUUAGAUACCCUGGUAGUCCACGCCCCUAAAACGAUGUCAACUAGCUGUUGGGGGCCUUCGGGCCUUGGUAGCGCAGCUAACGCGUGAAGUUGGACCGCCUGGGGAGUACGGUCGCAAGAUUAAAACUUAAAGGAA